rnacentral:rRNA from 1 species
GACGGAGGAUGCAAGUGUUAUCCGGAAUCACUGGGCGUAAAGCGUCUGUAGGUGGUUUAAAAAGUCCACUGUUAAAAAUUGAAGCUUAACUUCAAAGAUGCCGUGGAAACUUUUAAACUUGAGUAUGAUAGGGGUAGAGGGAAUUUCCAGUGGAGCGGUGAAAUGCGUAGAGAUCGGAAAGAACACCAACGGCGAAAGCACUCUGCUGGGCCGACACUGACACUGAGAGACGAAAGCUAGGGGAGCGAAUGGG